GAAGAGAAAAUGUAUUCGUUUAUAAAUAAAAUGUUCAGGAAUCUGAUGCCCUGAUAGAAAGUUUGACUGAAGAAGAUAUUCUAAGAACGAUUAAUACAAACAAUAUCAGCAAUAUCUUUCUUAAAGAGAAAAAUUUCAAGGAAAUGUUAGGAGGCAUAAAGUACAAUCAAAAUGGAGAAAUAAUUGGAGCUGGUGCAGUACUAAUCAAAUUUUAUACAUCUGUCAACGUCUCAGCUGUUAAAUUAUUUGGCACAGCUUCCAGAGGAGAAAAGAUAGAUACUGUUUCGUAUUCAUUUGAAGGAGAAAUGAUUAAGGAA